rnacentral:rRNA from 1 species
CCUACGGGAGGCAGCAGUGGGGAAUAUUGGGCAAUGGGCGAAAGCCUGACCCAGCAAUGCCGCGUGAAUGAAGAAGGUCUUAGGAUUGGAAAAUUCUGUCCUAUGGGAAGUAAAAAAUGACGGUACCAUAGGAUGAAGCCCCGGCUACAUACGUGCCAGCAGCCGCGGUAAUACGAAGGGGGCGAGCGUUGUCCGGAAUUACUGGGCGUAAAGAGAGCGUAGGCGGCACUAGAAGGCUCAUGUGAAAUACCCGGGCUUAAAUUGGGGGUUGCAUGGGAAACUGUAGAGCUUGAGUACAGGAGAGGCAAGCGGAAUUCCUGGUGUAGCGGUGAAAUGCAUAGAUAUUAGGAGGAACACCAGUGGCGAAGGCAGCUUGCUGGACUGAAACUGACGCUGAGGCUCGAAAGCGUGGGGAGCAAACAGGAUUAGAUACCCGGGUAGUC